AAAGAGAUUUCCUUUAUUUCU
rnacentral:snRNA from 1 species